rnacentral:rRNA from 1 species
GAUGAACGCUGGCGACGUGCCUAAUACAUGCAAGUCGAGCGAACAGACGAGGAGCUUGCUCCUCUGAUGUUAGCGGCGGACGGGUGAGUAACACGUGGAUAACCUACCUAUAAGACUGGGAUAACUUCGGGAAACCGGAGCUAAUACCGGAUAACAUGUUGAACCGCAUGGUUCAACAGUGAAAGACGGUCUUGCUGUCACUUAUAGAUGGAUCCGCGCCGCAUUAGCUAGUUGGUAAGGUAACGGCUUACCAAGGCAACGAUGCGUAGCCGACCUGAGAGGGUGAUCGGCCACACUGGAACUGAGACACGGUCCAGACUCCUACGGGAGGCAGCAGUAGGGAAUCUUCCGCAAUGGGCGAAAGCCUGACGGAGCAACGCCGCGUGAGUGAAGAAGGUCUUCGGAUCGUAAAACUCUGUUAUUAGGGAAGAACAAAUGUGUAAGUAACUAUGCACGUCUUGACGGUACCUAAUCAGAAAGCCACGGCUAACUACGUG